rnacentral:lncRNA from 1 species
AGGCGCACAGAGCCCCGCUGCCCAGCGACGCUGCCCGGCGCCUCGCAGAGCUCCCCGACGCGGCCGCUUUACACUUGCCUUCUUUCUUUCUCUUGCAGAGUGGCAUCUGGUACACGCUCUUCCAGUAACCUGCGCCAUCUGGAGCAACGGCAGCGUGAGUGACUUUGCCCCAAGUCGCCCGUGCCUUGGCGACCGUCGCCUGUUCCCUCGGUGCAUGCGUUCGUCCAACUUUCUCGGGGUUCCUCAUUGCUUUGGGUGUCCGGGUCCUAUUCCCCCAAGCGCCUGCUCCCGAGCCGCGAACUUCAGUGUUCGCUCCAGAAUCUUGCCCUAAGCAACCGACGCCAGGGAAGACAGGGCGCCCUCGGAAGGACAGGAUGUCAUCAGGAAAACAGGACUCCCCGUGGGAAGAUAGGAUACCUCCAGGAAGAUAGAAUAGUCCCAGGCAUCACUAGAACAGCAGGAAACACUAGGGUCCAAGCUCUCAUUGAGGCACCCGGGGAGGUUGUUGGGUUGUGGGCGGGGCUCAGGAAAGACUGUCCCUGCUGGUCCUGAUCCACGACCACCCACCCGGCAAGGUUCUCUCUAAGAGAACCUUGUCAGAGACAGAACGGGUCCCUACAGGCGCGUUCUUCUCUCCUACAGCCCAUGGCGCGGUUCCUGAGGCUUUGCACCUGGCUGCUGGCGCUUGGGUCCUGCCUCCUGGCUACAGUGCAGGCGGAAUGCAGCCAGGACUGCGCUAAAUGCAGCUACCGCCUGGUUCGCCCAGGCGACAUCAAUUUCCUGGUGAGUUGAAUUUGCGGUGAGGGGCUCCUCGCAGACUUCUAGUGGUCAUUUGCGCCGGAAGGUGCGUGGCAGGAGCCUUUGUGGACCAAAGUUACCUGGAGCUUCCAAAUGUUGAUCCCCAAGCUGUUGUCUCCCAAUUUAGGAACCAGUCUCUCUGGGACCCUUAAGGGCUGAGGUAUCUAUCUCCACAUAAACAAAUUUUGUUUUGCCCCCGGAGUUUCGGAACCCCAAGAUGUGUUCUCUUCAUUACCUCGGAUAGCACUUCAUCUAGGCUGUCAGUAAACCCAACUUUAACACCCAAACCCUUCAAACAUCCUUCCUGCAAAGAAUGUAAUGUUUUUGUUAGUGAGAGUGCCCCCACUACCCCAACUGCCAACCCAUUGCUCUUCCUGGGGUCCCUUAGCUUUGAGUCCCUCCUCACUGGAGUAAAAGGACAAGGGGGAGAGGUAGAGAGUUGCCAGAAGAGGCCAGAAAAAGCUCAUUAACAGCCCCUUGAGCAAGGGACACAGAAUUCCCUUUGCCUUGUCUUGACUGCACUUUUAUGUAACAGCUUUGAUUUGACUGUGAGAAGGGCUCAGGAGAGAUGGUUGAUACCCAAAGACGUGGUAUCUGUCCAAAGAUAGCCUGUCGUUUACAGGAGCUAGAAGAGACAAAAUGGCUGUUCUCUUCAUGAUAGUCCUCGGGCUUUCCAAACACCAGUGGGAUUCCAUCGAGUCUGAAUCUGUACAUUUGAAAUCCCAAAGGCUUCUUUUAUACUCUCUCAAUGAUCCAUUGCCCUGCCUUUAAAAUUCCUUGAUAGCUCAAAGGAGAGUCAGCUUACUACACUUAAGCCUUUGAGAAAGCUUCACAU